UGAAUUGAGGAAAGAGAGAUGGUUUUGAUGUUUCAAUUAUUGUUAUGUUUCACCUUCUCCUAGGAACCAUUAGGAACACAUCUGACAAGUGUUUAGUUUUAAAUCGUGGAAUGAACAUCCCACGAAGGACCUCCAGUCCGCAGCACAAAGCCAUAUUUGGGCCUACAUCUCUGAGGCUGAGUGCUGGAGAAGACUCCUGAGUCCCUUGGACUGCAAGGCGAACAAACCGGUCAGUCCUAGAGGAGAUCAACCCCGACUGCUCUUUAGAAGGCCAGAUCCUGAAGAUGAUACUCAAAGACUUUGGCCACCUAAUGAGAAGGAAGGACUCACUGGAGAAGAACCUAAUGCUGGGGACGAUUGAGGGCAAAAGAAGAAGGGGACGACAGAGAACGAGGUGGCUGGAUGGAGUCAUGUGAGCUUAAAUGGACUCCAGAGGAUGGUAGAGGACAGGAAGGCCUGGAGGAAUGUUGUCCAUGGGGUCGUGAUGGGUCGGACAUGACUUUGCAACUAACAACAAGAGUGUAUUGGCUUGUAAAUUAACGUCUGGGCUCAGGCAACCUGGCAAGCCAUAAAAAAAAAGCCUAACCAAGAUUGCAACCAAUCCGGCUUAGCAUUUGGGGUGAAUGGAGCCACCAGAUACGGAAGUGGGUAAACUACAUUGUGCGAAACCACCUAGAGCGAGAUGGGCCCUCUCCUCUUGACAUGCUAUAGUGCAAGAGCUGUUAUUUUAAACCACAACAGUGGUUAAAAUAUGGUGGUGGUUAACAGUAUUUUAAACCUGGCCAGUGGCCUCUUGCCACUGGCCAGGCUGCCUGAAGUUGAUAUGGGUAUAAAUCCAAAAACAUCUGGAAGGCAUUUGGUGCUUUUGCAAAGAAAGAAGCAAUGGCCCAAUGGUUACUGCAACGGAGGCCUGCUGAGAACCAAGUAUAACCCGUUCCAAAACACUUAUAUUCCCCCCCCACAACAUUGGUUCUCUCCCUCCCUCCCCACAUCACAUCCCUCAGGCUCUAGGACGCCCUUGCCUCGUAUUUCCAUGCUUCACAGCAAAUCCCUUUUGAAGCGGCACAGAGGCGAAACUGAACUGCUGAAUUUCUGCCUGGUAAUAGGCGUGAAAUCUGCAGUCCAUUGUGCCAAAACUGCAGGGGAAAAAAAAGGGGGGGAAUGAAAGCACACAUAACUCUUGUCCACCCCACGGAACUAGAGAGAGCUAUCCGAGGGGAGGCCGAGUCGCUCCUCCACCCAGGCAAAAGUUAGCCCAGAGGGUUCAGAAAGAAAUUCACCUUUGGGAAUUAAUUAGAAUUGAGAGCGAAAGAUAUCGUGGCCUGCCAAAGGCAGUGAAUUCUCCACCUCAGCCAUUUCUGGAUAAUCCCUUGUUCCUCAGCUCUGGAAAAAAAACAGGACGUCUACUUUUUCUCCCCAACCGUAAAAGUGUGAAUGUGCAAAAAAAAAGAAAAAAGAAAAAAAAAGUCCACCAGGAUAUUUUAUGUGGUUGGUAUACAUAUUUCUCUAUCCCUCCUGCCCAUCUCUCUCUCUCUCUCUCCCUCCCUCCCUCCAUCUCUGCUAUGGCUCUGCAGUCACAAAACUGAUUCCCUGCCAGGCAACCUAAUUAAGGAAAAAAUUUCCUAUGAUGAAGAUCGGGGGGGAAAAAAAAGGGGGUUUGAGGCUGAGCCGCAUUUUGCAAAAAAGUGGCUAUAAAAAAAGAAAGAAAGAAAAGGAAGAACAAUGGGAGCAGUCCGUCAAUGGCAAAAAAGAAGAAGGGAAAAAGUGGGUGUGGAGGCGAUGAUACGUCGGGGACAAAUAAAUACAUCGAUACUCAUCA